CACACAUACAUAUGCAUGUGACCCAAGCUGUAGAAACAGGUGAAAUAAUGAGGGAAUAUGUAUUGAUGACUUGGAUUCUGCCUUGUCAAGGACCAUAGGUGCCUCAGACCAAUGGUCUUCUUCAUCCCUCUGAGAUUUAGAGGGGUGACAAAACCUUCCUCUGCUCCCAGUAUGAGUAUUUAUGAUCAAACUUCCUCCUCUCAGAUAACUACAGCCUGAGACAGAUUCCCCUACUAAGUCCUACCAAGACUAGCUAGCUGCUCCUCCUGCUAAACACACUGAUAGUCCAGGGUUUUGUGUAGCUGGUGCUGGUAAGUAUGGCCUUCCUGAUCCCCACUUCUCUAUAUAUGUGUCUGUCCUUUCUUCAUUUUCUUGUCCUUCCAGUCAGGUUGCCAGGACUGAGCUAUUGAGGCCACAGUGCCCAGGGAGACCCACUUAGGCUGAAUCUGCCCAAGGAGCAAGGGUUGCCAGGCAGCAGGACCAGGAUGACAUUCUGCUCGGUGUGAGGCAAGACCAUGGUGUAAGAAUGGUAGUCAGGCCAGGAGUAUGAACUGUGGAGAGGUGGCCAAGAUGCCUACAUAGGGGUCAGCAGCAGACUCGAACUUCUCUGGUAAAGUCUCUAGACUCCCAAGAGAAGAACCCUGCUGGACACAAGCAGGAAACUAGGUCCCCCGAAGGAGAACAGGAAUAUGGCAAAAAGGCUUGGAUUCCAGAUUCAAGAACCAUUUACAGUGAGACCUAGUGAUAGCCAUCAAUAGUCUGGGUGAGGUGAAAGAGGGCAGGACCCCAGCAUUCUGUGCUGUCUCACAUACCAGGAGGAAGGAGGCCUAGAGUCCUGAAAUCUGGGAAGAGCUGUCCAGCUGCUCACCCUGAGCUGAGGUCCACAGAUGGCUUUGGUCAAGAUUGUCCUCCUCUGAGCAAAGACCAAAGAUGUGCUAACACUGCAAGUUCCUGCCCACUACCCAAGUGUGUGUGCCAUUCACCACAGCCUAUGCAGAGAAAGGCUGGAAGAGGUCUGUGUUCAAUGUGAUUGCAGUACCUUCAAAGUGCCUGUAAGCCACGGGUGAGUAGGCAAACUUCCUCGGGUGUCAGGUUCCACAUCUACUGAUGGCAAAGACAGAUGCCUGUGGCUCUUAUGGAGGUUCUGUGAGACAAACUUCAUAAAGCGAGUGCUUAGCACCACUGUGGUGACGUCAACACAGCUAAGUAUGGUUAUUACCACUGUGGAUAUAGCUAAGCAUUGUCUUCUACGGCCCUCUCCCCUCUAGCUCCUGUAGCUGAAGUACACUGCAGAUAGAGUUCUGCUCUAUGGCCAGGCUGCGGAAAGGUGGCCUUGACGGGUAGCUCUCAGAAGCAUGAUGGAAGUCAGCAGUGAGCAUCUCCUUCGUGGCACACUGGCAGGAGCCGUAGCACCAGGACGACGUUUGGUAUGCCAGGCACAUCCUGUGCCUCACACAUCCAGGGACUGCAAUCAGGUAGCUGAUGAGAAUUCAAGUCACAUCGCCUGGACCAUUGCCGCAGUGAACUGAUUCAUGCUGCUACUUCGAGGUGGGAGAAGGGACAGUGGGGCCCAGAGACAAACCAGCCUGGCUCUAUUAUACAGCUGCUGUUCUCAAGCUGAAACGUUCCGUCCUUUCCCACUCCCUGUCUUGCUGCUGAGCUGGCUACCUGUGAAGCCUGAAGAUUCCAGCCCCAGGUUCUGACUGAACAAUGGUAUUAUGUGAUGUAUAAAGAGUACCCAGGCAACGGAGACAGGCAUGGCUUCAUUCACUCAGUGCCCAGUGGCUUUUGAACGCUCCAGCAUUCAGCCUUUAUCCUGAGCAGCUCUGGGCCUCUCCCCUCCCAUUUAUUGCUCAGCUGUCCUCAUCAUAAUCUUUCCCCUGUCUGCAAGAGAGCCAUGAAUGAGGGAAGGAAAGGGGGGAGACAAAGAUACUCUGGUAACCAGAAAGACUCCUGAUUGUGGGUGAAGAGAUCUGAGGUUUGGUCUCUGGUGCCAUCACUCAUGAGGGAACCUUGAGUGCAUCUCUAGUCAGCUCCAGGUUCCCUUCCCGAUCUAAGUCUCUGGUAAGAGAAUCAGGAAGAAAGUCCAACGGGAGCUUUGCCAACUCUGACAUUCUAUCAUGUGGUUGUGACAAGUCCCCAGGACCACUGAGGAAUGGAGAGAGCUAACCAACGGGGACAAAGUACCAGAAACACCUAUUGUGACUCAUCUGUGAUGGUGACUAACAAGACCAAGGUCCACAGAUGAGGAAGUUAUGCCUGUGAGAGAGGUCAAGUUGCCCAAGCAUGACCCAGUCUGACCUGGCUUGUGUUGCUGACCAUCAGGAACCCCUCACCAAGCAUCAACACAGAUAUCCAGAGGCCCAGGGCUAGUGGUGGGAGCUGAGCCUCAAAGGCUCUUGAUUCUGUGAACUCCUGAAUGCAGUGAAGUGAAGCACCUGCUCAGAGGGCGAAGGCAGUACUGGUAGGUGUACAGUUCUGGAAGGCUCCAUGGACUUGACAAAGUGCUCUCCUAGAUCAAGAAGGACAAGCAGAAUCUUAAGAGAGCUGACUGGACAGGUGGGAAGAGUGUGCUCCAACAGAGGCUGCAGAGGAGAGCAUUGUUCUGGAGAAACACUGAGCUUGAGGACACAGCAGCCCUCUGAUCAAAGACUCUCAAGAAGACCGAACUGAACUGAGCUGAAGGCAUGACCUUCCCAUGUCUAAGAGAAAGCAAAAAUAGUUGAAUCCAGACCUUCCCCAUCUGGACAAGCAGAGUCCAGAGCAGGUCUAGCCCAACCCUCAGUGAACACUGUAGAGGGAGACAUGAAGCAGAGGAAGACUCGGUGAGAGCCAGAAAUGUGAUGAAAUACCAACAGAUAAGCUCAGCAAAGCACCUUCACAGUCUUGAUUUCUUAUAAAUAACAAGUGCUCCGUGUGGUGUUGGCCAGGCUAAGCCUCCCUGUGCAUGAAUUCUUUUCAUUCAUUUCUUCAUCUGUUGUGGAAAGAGAUUUGAGUUGCCCAUUUCCCCAAUGAGUUGAGCUCUGUGGUGAAUGAAUCAUUUGUCUAAGUCUCUGACUAGAAAUGACAGUGACAGAAGCAUCCAGGGUUGUCUGACUCCAAAGCCCACCUGAGGUGGGUCUGUCUUCAGUGAUGGGAAGCAGAGCAACCCUGGAAAUGUAUGCUACAGGAUCAUUAGCAUGAUUUAAUAAGCCGUUCCCUUGAGCCAGGAUUGCCAACAGCUCCAUCUGACAUGGCCAUAUGGGUCACCACACUAGGGGAAGAGGCUAACUAUCUCCAGUCUUUGUGGGAAACCCUGUCCUGGCCAGGAAGGGGAAGUUUUAAGUGAUGUAUUAAAAACAGG
rnacentral:sRNA from 1 species